GGGAGUUUGGUCUAGUGGUAUGAUUCUCGCUUCGGGUGCGAGAGGCCGCGAGUUCGAUACUUGCAACUCCCC
rnacentral:tRNA from 1 species